AAUCACUGUCAAUUUUUUCCAGUAUAAAUAAUGUUCUAACAUAUUUGUAAAUGCCUGUAGAGCCUUCUCUCUGGUUCCAGACAAGUUAGCUAUGUUAAACUUUGUGUUCCCCUUUCUCCAAACUCUGCUUUGUAUGUUCGUAGGUAUUAUGCUCUUGUUAUCACACUCAAACUUACAAUAAUAUUUUGAGGUUGACUGACAAUAUUGGCAAUUAAUCUUGACUAUCAGAUUGGAUUGAAAGAUGCCAAGAGAUAAGUCAAGCAUACCUGAAGAUGUGUCUGAAAGAUUUUUUUUCAUCAAUGUCCAGAACUUAGGCGCUCUGAUCUAAUCAACAGUUCAAUUCAGGAACGGAUUAAUAUUUUGAAAUGGGAGGCAUGUCUCUAAGGACUUGCCUUUCCUGGCCCCUUCCUGCCUUUACAAUGUCAAGGCUGUCAGUGGACUGAUCAGAUGAAUGUCAUUCAGGUACAGGUAGACGACGUUUACUUCUGUUGAGCCUUUCGCAGCUCACAAAGGGUUUGAGAAGUUUGGGUUGAGCCUGUGUGAACAACUGUAUCUGAUCCAGCUCCUAAGCUAGUGUGAGUGGAAAAGCUCUCAUCUGCCAGUGCCUUCCCAUCAUGGAGGGGGGAGUCCUCUGAACUGGAGAGUUAGCCAGUCUUCCUCUUGGGUUGCUUAUGUCAGACUCUGCCUAGGUGUUGCAAAGUUCCUUCCUCAACAGCAUACUUCACUCCUGAUUCUGAGUUUACAGCCAGAAAAGUCCUUCCAACGUCUUACAGAUGCCUCUGCUUCAAAGGUGUUACUGUCUCCAGUAAUCCCCUGGGAAGCAGGGAUGUGGCUAAACGCUGUCAGCUGCAGAUGCUGAUAAGAUCCUAUCACUUCAAGUUCCCCGGCCAUUCAAGAACUGAAAACCACCAGUGCUAUUCUGCGAAUCAAAGUCUGAUCUGCCCGAACUGUGCAAUAUUUGUUUGAUCAUCAUAAUACAUGUAUUAAACAUUCAGUGAAUGUU
rnacentral:lncRNA from 1 species